rnacentral:lncRNA from 1 species
CAGCUUCUGCCCGGUGAAUGACUGGAGGAGCUGGGUCUCCACCAAGCUUAUGUCAAAGGAGAGAGGCCAUUCAGAACAGUCAAAAACAGACUAAGGUAUGAAAAAAAAAAAACAUAUUCAACUUAGAAACAGAACCUCCCACCCCCUGAAAAUCACCUGCAACCAUUUGUGUGGAAAGAAACACGCACAACGCAUCCCGUGGCGUAUGAACCUCAGGCACUAUUUGCAAGGCCUUAGCCCCCUGAGCAGUCAUGUCGACCUUGGCUAAACACUUGAGACUUUUCCCUGACUCUGAC